rnacentral:rRNA from 1 species
UACAGAGGAUGCAAGCGUUAUCCGGAAUGAUUGGGCGUAAAGCGUCUGUAGGUGGCUUUUUAAGUCCGCCGUCAAAUCCCAGGGCUCAACUCUGGACAGGCGGUGGAAACUACCAAGCUGGAGUACGGUAGGGGCAGAGGGAAUUUCCGGUGGAGCGGUGAAAUGCGUAGAUAUAGGAAGGAACACCAGUGGCGAAGGCGACUACCUGGACUGAUACUGACACUGAGGUGCGAAAGCGUGGGGAGCAAACAGG